rnacentral:rRNA from 1 species
CUCCAAAAAACUUCUUUUCGUUGUAUCGAUCAAAUUAUUGGACCCGUGCUGGAUGUCACUUUUCCCGGCAAGUUACCUUAUAUUUAUAACGCUUUGGUAGUCCAGAGUAGAGACACUGCCGAUAAGCAAAUUAAUGUGACUUGUGAGGUACAACAAUUAUUAGGAAAUAAUCGAGGGGCAAGAAAUAUUGAAUAG